UCCUACGGGAGGCAGCAGUGAGGAUAUUGUCAUUGACGAAAGUCUGAACCAGCCAAAUCGCGUGAGGAAGAAGUAUUAUGUAUCGUAAACUUCUUUUGUAAGAGAGUAAAGUGCACUACGUGUAGUGUAUUGCAAGUACCUUACGAAUAAGCAUCGGCUAAUUCCGUGCCAGCAGCCGCGGUAAUACGGAAGAUGCAAGUGUUAUCCGGAUUUAUGGGUUUAAAGGGUGCGUAGGUGGUCUAAUAAGUCAGUGGUGAAAUCUCUUUGCUUAACAAGGAAAUUGCCAUUGAAACUGUUAGACUUGAGAAUGGACGAGGUAGGCGGAAUUCGUAGUGUAGCGGUGAAAUGCAUAGAUAUUACGAAGAACUCCAAUAGUGUAGACUGCUUACCAGACCAUAUCUGACACUAAGGCACGAAAGUGUGGGUAUCAAACAGGAUUAGAUACCCUGGUAGUCCACACAGUAAACGAUGAAUACUAACUGUUUGCGAUAUACAGCAAGUGGUCGAGCGAAAGCGUUAAGUAUUCCACCUGGGAAGUAUGCCGGCAACGGUGAAACUCAAAGGAAUUGACGGGGGCCCGCACAAGCGGAGGAACAUGUGGUUUAAUUCGAUAAUACGCGAGGAACCUUACCCGGGCUCGAACGAUAUUUGAAUACAUCCGAAAAGAUGUAGCUAGCAAUAGCAAAUACCGAGGUGCUGCAUGGUUGUCGUCAGCUCGUGCCGUGAGGUGUCGACUUAAGUGUCAUAACGAGCGCAACCCUUACCGAUAGUUACCAUCAGAUAAUGCUGGGGACUCUAUUGGGACUGCCACCGUAAGGUGUGAGGAAGGAGAGGAUGACGUCAAAUCAGCACGGCCCUUAUGUCCGGGGCGACACACGUGUUACAAUGGGAGAAACAAAGGGUCGCUACCUGGCAACAGGAUGCUAAUCUCGAAAAUCUCUCUCAGUUCGGAUUGGAGUCUGCAACUCGACUCCAUGAAGCUGGAUUCGCUAGUAAUCGCACAUCAGCCAUGGUGCGGUGAAUACGUUCCCGGGCCUUGUACACACCGCCCGUCAAGCCAUGGAAGCUGGAAGUACCUGAAGUAUGUAACUAAAAGAGCGUCCUAAGGUAAAUCAU
rnacentral:rRNA from 1 species